rnacentral:rRNA from 1 species
UGGGUAACCUGCCUUAUAGUGGGGGAGUAGCCUUUCGAAAGGAAGAUUAAUACCGCAUAAGAUUGCAGUAUCGCAUGAUAUAGCAAUUAAAGGAGCAAUCCGCUAUAAGAUGGACCCGCGUCGCAUUAGCUAGUUGGUGAGGUAAUGGCUCACCAAGGCGACGAUGCGUAGCCGACCUGAGAGGGUGAUCGGCCACAUUGGGACUGAGACACGGCCCAGACUCCUACGGGAGGCAGCAUG